AUAUUAAUUCCCCUUUCGUCACUCUUAAAGAGUGUUCCAGGCAGCAGACAAAAGUCUUCACUAAAUACCAGUUGACUUGGCUUUUUGGCAGUCUUGCAGUGGCCAAUAUUGUCUUUGCUAUGCUAACAAGAGUCAGUUCACCCAGUUUUGACGCCGUGAGAUUUAGCUUACACUCUCCUAUUUAUUGUUUGGGCCACUACAGUUGCCUCAGAGCCCUAGCAGGAGUGCUGCAGAGUGCAAAAACGAAUGAAAGGACAGCCUCUCUUCUGAAGAGCUUGCGAUGGCUGAUGUUUGCUCUCAGAGCUGACCUGCAGUAAGGCGGCAAUGGCAGCACUAUACUGCGGUGCAACUGAAGAUCCAAUCUUCAGGCAGAGAUGCUUGAGAGAAACAGAUGCUGUGUCCUGUGGGACAGGGAGGACCACAUCCAGCCUCAUUGCUAUCUGGAGACGUGUAGCCCUGAGUCACUGACGGCAGGCUCCCAGCCUCCUUCUUCUCUGGCCUCACAACUGCAGGGCAGCUGUCCUCCCACACAUCCUUCCCUUGCCUUGCACCUCAAACUCUCUCUCAAGACGUGCUGAAGGCAGCCUGAAGGCCAGCAACUCGCAGGAGGUGAGGAUUCACUAAUGAUAAGACUUUUUUUAGCAUCCACCCACGCAGGGCACUAACAGCAGGAAACCACACCAGCAGUUACGCAGUGUCUUACGGCGUGGUUUGGCAACUGAAGAGGGAAAGUGAAGAACGUAAGUGAACAGAGAUCUAGGUAAUGCUCUGUACUUUCCCAAACUGGAAUCAUGGGUUUAAUAUUUCUGUUGUUGAGAAGUUGUGCUGCUGGUGAAGCUGGCCAGUGUUACAUCUGCAGUGUGGAUGGGAUCUUCCACUCUUAUCGGAGGGGCCUCCAGGCUGCAGGUACAGCUAACGAGGAGCUCGGGCCCGGACCUAUCUGUACUUCUGAGCUCACACUGGACAAGGAUACUGUCCUUGUUUUUCAGGAUGCUUAUCAGCAUGCAUUAGUAAACACAGAUGAUGGCAAUUAAGCCUUUGGGAGAAUCUUGGCACAUUGGAACUGACCGCUUUUCUGAUUGAAAACCGAGAUAGGAGGAGAAACCUUUAUUCCAUGGCUGAACAAAACAUCUUGAA